rnacentral:rRNA from 1 species
CCCGCACAAGCGGUGGAGCAUGUGGUUAAUUCGACGCAACGCGAAGAACCUUACCAGGGCUUGACAUCCCCUGACCGCGUAUGAAAGUACGUUUUCACCCUCGGGUGACAGGGAGACAGGUGGUGCAUGGUUGUCGUCAGCUCGUGUCGUGAGAUGUUGGGUUAAGUCCCGCAACGAGCGCAACCCCUACGUUUAGUUGCUAACGCGUGAAGGCGAGCACUCUAGACGAACUGCCGUUGACAAAACGGAGGAAGGUGGGGAUGACGUCAAAUCAUCAUGCCCCUUAUGUUCUGGGCUACACACGUGCUACAAUGGCCGGUACAGACGGACGCAAAGCCGCGAGGUGGAGCAAAUCCUAAAAAGCCGGUCUCAGUUCGGAUUGCAGGCUGCAAUUCGCCUGCAUGAAGUCGGAAUCGCUAGUAAUCGCAGGUCAGCAUACUGCGGUGAAUACGUUCCCGGGCCUU